rnacentral:lncRNA from 12 species
AUGAUGUCGUUGUUUCAAAGGCCAGAUCCUUCCCCAAGCCUAAGCUGUUCCUUGGAUACUUUGACAAGUCCUUUAUUAACUAAUCAUUUUGUAAUUGCCUCUGAUGUGCCAGGCUUGUGCUCAGGGCUGAGAAUGCAGUGCCCGAGGAGCUUCUGUUCUUGCCUCCAAGACCUCGCUUGCCACUCCGAUUUUGCUAAUUCAGAUGCCCACAUUCCUAACUUCUCCCCCAGGAAAAAUCCUAAGGACCAAAUCCUAUCUAUUUUCUCAAAUGGCUUCAAAGACCCAUGUCAUCACCGGUGUCGUAGAAUUCUUUGCUGAUGUACUUUCAUCUUUGACUUUUGCUUUCUUCUUGUAACUGUCAGAGACACAGAGUGUGGGGGUGUCUUUCUCAUUAAAUCCUUUCCCACAAAACUCCAGGGUGUUUUCAGUGUUUAAGAAGAAACUAAAAGCUAUGGGCCUCGUUUAGAUGUGUGCAAAGGCUUGUGGGGAGAGGGAAACAAGGCACAGAGGACAACUUGGUAGGAAUUUAACUGCAUUUACCAUCUGCAAACUCCAAAAAAUAAGGUAGGGGCAGCCAAAUGUCCCGAUGGCCUUGAAGGUCUCCUUCAGGGGGGCAUCUGCAGAGGUGCAAGGCACAGUGGGGCCCCCUCUCCCUGCCCAAAAUGUCCAUGUCCUAAUGCCCAGAACCUGUGAAUAUGUUACUUUGCCAUGUAAUGAGUCCAUGGCCAAAGAGAUUCUGCAGGUGUGAUCAAGUGAAGGACCUUGAGGUGGAGAGACUGUCCUGGAUCAUCUGGGUGAGCCAGUGUCAUCACAACGGUCCUUAUAAAGCAAAGAAGGCAGCAGGAGAGUCUGAGUCAGAGAGAAAAGAGAUUUGAAGAUGCUGCACUGCAGGCUUUGGAGAUGGAGGGAGGAGCCACGAGGCAAGGAGAGGCGACAGCCUUGGGAAGCCGAAAAAGUCAACAAGCACAUUCUCCUUGGAGGCCCCCCGGAAAGCAACACAGCCCUACAGACUCAUUUUAGGCUUCUAACCUCCAAAACUGUCAAAUAAUAAAUUUGUGGUUAAGCCACUAAGACGGUAAUUU